CACAGCGAUCCCUCUUGCUGUUCUGGCUUCUGAGAUUCAGAAUAUUUUUUUCUUGUUUUCCUCCUCCAAAAACUAGGUGCGUCUUGUGGUCUGGUGUGUCUUAUAGAGCGAAAAAUACGGUAUUCUGAAUCUCAGAAGCCAGAACAGCAAGAGGGAUCGCUGUG